UUUUCCCGAGGGCGCGAGGCACGAGGUUGUGGUAGCGGGCUUGCGCGCCGUGCGGCAAAGAGGGCUUAAAGCCUUAUUGAAUUAAAAUUUGAUUGCAGUCCGUUCUGCACGUCCAGCGUAAGCAAAGUGCGCCCAGUGCUGCCACCACGUUUCAGCACGGAGGCUGUAUAAAGCGCUGUGCUAUUGCACGUGCUUCCAGUGCCGCCUGGUGGCUGUGGCGCUCCGGUGCAGGUGCAGCUCCGGCGGGGCGUUAUUCAUCUGUGCUUUCUGCUGCGCGAGUUGCGGCCGAGCCCAUCUCUCGGACCCUCCUGUGCCCACACAGUUAUUUACAAAGGGACUCGUCUGACCUCCUCGCCCUCCUUCCAGCUCUGCUCAGUUGAGAGCAUGAAAGGAGACACAUUUGGUCCUUAUCUAAGCCAUUCUGCUGACCAUUACGUAAUUAAGAAAACUGAGGCUGUCCCAUCCAGUAAAGAAGAAAAUUCUCCAUCCUCCUCCUGGACCAAAAAGCAGACCUGUUACAAGUGUAACGACUUUAAAUGUCACAAGGUUUUAAAUGCAGUUUGAAAAUCAAACCACAGCUGUUCCUGUCUACAAGCAGUGAGAAAAAAUUUUCAUCACUUUCCAGUGCUACUUGUAUUGUUGAGUCACUUACACCUUCUAAAGAAAUUGCAGAACAUGCUGCCUGCUGAUGCCCUCCAGGAGAAGGUGGAGGAGGUUGCUGGUGUGGCACAACCUAUGAGGUGUGGACCAUGUGUGGGGGGCUGCUCUUUGUUCUGGUGAGGCACUUCAGUCAUCUCUUCAGGCUGCUCUUCAGCUCUUAACCCCAGGCCCCUUUGAAGGUAUUGAGUGAAAGCACUGCUACAAAGCUCUGCCACAUCCAAAGCAACAAAUGAAAAGGUUAUGCUGGGGGAAAAGAGUAAAGAUGGAGGUGGUGAAAAAGCAGAGGUGGAGGCAGCACCCUAGCAGCUAUGCUGCCCUGGACGCCCCUUAGUCUCACUGCUAAAUCUGUACUUCCCAUCAGCUUCUGGUGGCUGCUGGCAUGCACCAGCUGCCAUGUGCUGCCCUUCAUGGGGAGUGAAGCAGUUUUCCAGCUCCUGAUGACAUGGUUUUGUUUCAGCCACAAGGAAAAAAGCAGGAGUAAGAAGAAAUGGAGGGGAAUGAUAAUAAAGGAACAUGGUUUUUCUCUGCAGCCUGGUAUUAACCAACAGUCCUGGCCCUGUUUGUGGUAGCACUUGUAUUUUUAGUCUUCAAGGAAGCACAGCAGAGUAAAUAGCAUUACUGGAAUAAAUGUCUGGUAACAGUUAUUAGCCCAGAGAAUUAUUACGUAUGCAUAUCUGAAUAACCAUAUGUAUUGGCUCUGAAAGCAUCAUCCAUGUGCAGUAGUCUCUCUCAGCAGUGGUGACACAGUCCAACAGGAUGGAUCCUAACAGACUGUUAAUCAGUCCCCACAGCCCACAAAUUGUACUCUGAAAGUGCCCGGUAUUAGCCACAACAGUUCCACAGCAAAUGGCAUGAAUCAGCUGCAUGUGUUAAACUGUUCCCACUCUGUUUGCAAGAAGAUGGGGGCAAUUCCUCAGGCUGCUUCAGCACCACAGUCAUUUUAGAAAAAAACUCAGAGCUGGUACUGUUUUUUCCCUCCAAAAUAGCGUUAAGAGUCACUCAAAACUCUGCUCUCAAGGUGCAACAACACCCAACAUUCCUUUUCUGGCGACACCAUUUGCAGCUGCAGUGUUUCUUGGUGGCAGAGCGAGGAGCCCAACCUGCCCUUCAGAGCAGCCCUUGGCAUGGCACUUCUGCACAGCAAAA